UAUACUUUGUUAUAGUUUUCCAUAUUUUUUCCAUCAUUAGAUUCUAUAGAUGGAAAACUACAACACAUUUUAUAAUUUUCUGUGUAUAGAAUCUAAUUAUUGGAGGGCCAUCUUAAAUUCAAAGUUGUCUUGGAUUUGGGUGUAUACUGUAUCCAGGUCUGGGAUUCCUAGAUCUAUCUAAAACCCUUAAAAGCUAUCAGCAUGCUUUAGAGUACUGAUGCUCAGCUUCUUUCGUCCCAUGGCUACAAGUAGCCAUUGUUGUUUUAAUGAAUUCAUGGUAUUUAGAAUGGUUUGUUAAUCAUAAUAAUAGUUGUCACAACCCAAUGAUUUUGGUGCCUCGGCACAGUGGAAUUUUCCCGCCACAUGAGAGCCUCUUGCAAAGUAAAGGUUUUCUGUUGCUGCAGAAAACUCCCGGUGCAAGAGAGUUCCCACCAUUCGAAUGUAAAUUUGUGUCCCGCUAUUGGCCAGCUCUAAAUUAUUCCCACGUGGCGGCUGGUAAUUGGCUUGCUAGCCUUUUAAAAAUUAGCGCAACUUCCGCCCAAGUUGGAGAACUUUGAGCACACUGCAGAGUGCCUCUGAAGAGAUCUGACUUGUGGCUGAGCUGAUCGAUAGACUGAUCACCUAUCGAUUCUUCUCCCCGUCGCCGAGCACAAUCCCAGAUGUAUCCUUUUCCCUACCGGCCUGAUUUGUAGAUGGACGUGCUGGCCUGAGCCCUGCCAGCUGGAACAACUAACGUAGUUGUUCAGACGACCGGACCGUUUUCGUCGCAACCGCAAGCGAUGUUCUGGAAGUGCUGUAUCCUGCCUCCCCUUUUUUCCCCCUGAUUCCAGAAGAACUACAAGCUGCUUCUUCAGACUGGGAGCCAGCAUCAGAAAUGCAGAAGGUGAACAAAGGAAAGACACUUAGACCAAGGACCCCAACAACAGGAAACAUCUGUUCCAAGCCUGUUCCCCUCAUGCUUUCUGGUGGACCCUGUGGCAAAGAAUCUGUAAUUUUUCCUCUAAUAUCCACCGUAUUUGUCACCAGGAUAUCUCCACUAUAUCUAAAGGCUGCUUCUGACUCCUUCUCUUUCACCUGAAGCUUCUUAAAUGUUGCUAUAGAUCUAUAUUUGUCUUCACAGUUUUUGUAAUUCUUUUUUCAAUUUUAACUUUUAAACUGAUCCAUCUGUCCUAUGAGAA